CUCACACCUAUGUGUGUAGGACUCCAAAGGAUCAUCAUUAAAGUUGGCAUGGAUUUCUAGAAAAGUUAUCACAUGGGUGUGAGACUUGACUUUUCUAGAGAUCCAUACCAAUUUUAAUAGUAAUCCUUUGGGGUCCUACACACAUGGGUGGGAG
rnacentral:pre_miRNA from 1 species